UACGUAGGGGGCAAGCGUUGUCCGGAAUCAUUGGGCGUAAAGCGCGUGUAGGCGGUUCAGUAAGUCUGCUGUGAAAGUCCAGGGCUCAACCCUGGGAUGCCGGUGGAUACUGCUGGGCUAGAGUACGGAAGAGGCGAGUGGAAUUCCCGGUGUAGCGGUGAAAUGCGUAGAUAUUGGGAAGAACACCAGCGGCGAAAGCGCGCUACUGGGCCAUUACUGACACUCAUGGACGAAAGCUAGGGGAGCGAAAGGG
rnacentral:rRNA from 1 species